rnacentral:rRNA from 1 species
AAUCAACGCUGGCGGCGUGCCUAACACAUGCAAGUCGAACGCGAAAGUCCCGCAAGGGGCAAGUAGAGUGGCAAACGGGUGAGUAACGCGUGGGUGACCUACCUCAGAGUGGGGGAUAACCUUCCGAAAGGAGGGCUAAUACCGCAUGACAUACCGUGGUUGGAUACACGGAUAUCAAAGCCGGGGAUCGCAAGACCUGGCGCUUGGAGAGGGGCCCGCGUCCGAUUAGCUAGUUGGGAGGUCACGGCUCACCAAGGCGACGAUCGGUAUCCGGCCUGAGAGGGCGGACGGGACACACUGGGACUGAGACACGGCCCAGACUCCUACGGGAGGCAGCAGUGGGGAAUUGUUCGCAAUGGGCGCAAGCCUGACGACGCAACGCCGCGUGGAGGAUGAAAUCCUUCGGGAUGUAAACUUCGCAAAUAUGGGAAGAACACAAUGACGGUACCAUAUGUAAGCCCGGCUAACUCCGUGACAGCAG